rnacentral:lncRNA from 1 species
UGCCCGCGAUUCCGCAUUUGCGGACAAUUCGUCGCAUCUGCGACUACUGCUUUUGCGGAAAAACAUCGCAUCUGCGAAAAAUGGCCUUGCCCAGCAACCCCCGCACCUGCUGUAUCAAACUCCGCAUCUGCGAAGACACUCGCACCUGCGUUUCCACUCGACGCACUUGCGCCCUUUUCUCCCCUUCUGCGGGCCUCCUCAUCCAGCUCUCAUCUCGCAUCUGCGACGCCUUUGUCGCUUCUGCGGCCAUCGCACCUGCGCAAACUAACCGCAGGUGCGAUCAUACCAGAACCAGCAGCCUUCAGCAAUGCAACAUGAAGUGAAAAUGAUCCGAACCUCGUCCAAAACUCAUCCGAGCCACUCGGGACCCCGUCCGAAUAUACCAACAAGUUCCAUAACGCAAUACGGACCUACUCAAGGCCUCAAAACACACAUAACAACAUAAAAACGGCGAAUCACACCUCAAAUCGAAAUCUAUGAAUUUCGAACUUUCAAAUUCAAUAACUCGUGCCGAAACAUAGCAAAUCAAUCCGGAAUGACUUCAAAUUUUGCACACAAGUCACAUUCGACAUUACGGACCUGCUCCAACUUCCUAAAUCGGAAUCCGACCCCGAUAUCAAAAAGUCCACUCCCGGUCAAACUUUGCAAAAUUUCAACUUCCGCCAUUUCGAGCCAAAUUCAACCACGAACCUCCAAAUCACAAUCCGGACGUGUUCCUAAGUUUAAAAUCACCCAACGGAGCUAACAAAACCAUCAAAAUUCCAAUCCGCUAGCUUCGGCCAUGACUUCACAAUCCACAACUAUGAAACAAUCUGCUCCUGAAAGCUCCCGGUUUCCAAAUCCAUAAAACACACGAAUCACCAUUUCUGAUUCCAUCUCCACCGCCCAAAUGUCUAACACAUCUCUCAUACACGAUCAUCCCACGAGGAAUACUUCUAAAAUUCUUCCGUGCCAUCUAGCAAAAUUUGAACAUCAGCAGUCAAUCAACCAGGAGAGUGCCGCAAUACCAAUGAAGUAUCCAUAAAUCAAACACAUUGCCCUUUCUGAAAUGUAUACUAUCAUCAGGCCAUACCGAUUAGUAAUAUCAGUUACCUAGUCAUCUGAAACCGUCCAUGCUGCCUACAAAUCUAUGCCCUUCCCUUCCAAACUGACUUGUGACCUUGCACAUGCAAAUCUCAAUCCCACACAACACCGCAUCUACCAUGCCAUCCUGUGAAGAGUACAGGAGUCUCAUAAUCAACUCUGAGUUCCAAGCAGAAUACAUACCCGAUAAGUCAGAAACCUUCCAUUUGAUUUCAUCUGGGAGAAAUUCACUAUACACCACAUGCUCCUCACGCCAGCAGGAAAUAUACCCCUCGAACCUUGGUAAAAACCAUUGAGAACUCUUCGAAACCCAUUUGCACGUAACCAAGCUAUCUGAACCGAAUCUCUCUAACUCAACCCAGCCACGCAGGUUGCCAAAACCCAAGAGCAUUGCCACGAAACACCUGUAGAGACUAGCCACGUCAUAAGAUCCAAAGAACCGAUUAUAUCCAUUACUGUGCUGAUCCAACCUACUACCACGCAGUCCUAUUUCUCAAAGUCCCUUCCAAAUUGCCUUCAAAUUGAUACUUCUCCUUGCUGGAACACUACGAUCCUUAACCAAAAUUCACCACACAAGAGACCCUAGUAUAAAACCACAACGCCUAAGGCCCAUAAGCCGCUGACUUCCUCUUAAGCACCCCAAGGCACCACAACCGAGACACCCACUCUAAAGAGACCUUAUGUGAACCUCAAACUGUUUCCUUCACCUUCUUGAUAAUGAAAUGCACAAUCCACAAUGAUAUAAAAUGCCACAAGUCUCGACACCAUCCAAUGCAACUCCCAGUUUCUAGCCAUAUACAAAUCUUGAAAAUUCCAAAUCACUACAUAUAAAUUUUAAAUCCACUAGAACCAUUCUCGAGAGUCAUCCACUAUACUCAAAUCUUAAUUAAACUGACCAAACGGACCGAACGACCUGUGCCCCAUUAGCACACCAACACCCAAGGGAGUAAAGAAUAACCCACACUCCUAAGCAACUGAGCAAAUUCCUACUCCAUGUACACUACAUCCUUCGCGAAUAACCACUCAAUUAUUUUGUGAUUCUCAUAUACCUAUAGAGUGUAAUACAACCUGUAUCCAGAAAUUCCUUUACCCGAGUCAUCCUCGAUCUCGACCUCUGCAAGUCAUAACUGAUUCACCAGUAUACCCCAAACCGAAACCAAUACAACACAUAACCGUGCAAUCAACUCGUCGAUAGCAGACUCCCCCACUUGGCUCAAAGCCAUGGAAUAAAACAUCUGACUACUUACAAUAACCAUACCCCAUUACGACCAUAAUACCACAGUGAGAUUCCAUUAAAUCCUUCAUCCGCUCAUGCAACACAAACCAUCUAGUACCUCAAAUCAUCUGCAAAUAUCGCNNNNNNNNNNNNNNNNNNNNNNNNNCACUCCACAACUAAACAACAUGCGAGAUCCCUCAAUACACCCAUAACUCGAGACCAUACGCCAAAUCAAGACAGAAAUCAGACACCCCAUAGUCCUUUCUACAUCUUAAGUAAACUCUUCUCGUCACAUUCGAACAAUCUGAGCACAUCUCGCAGUCACAUCAUACUCACCACAUAGCCAUUCUAUCGCUCAUCGAGCCACAAAUUUCACUCAUAGAGACACUACUGGAUGUAUAAGUCCUAAAAGCACGUGCUCACACAAUCGAAAUCUCCGUGCUCAAGCUACAGUCAAAACCCGGCCUCAAGUCCUCCAGCCUGGCCCAUCAUCAGCACGCCAAAAUCACAUCUCGCACCUCAACCAUGGAAUCACAAGCCGUCGUUGCACAGCUGAUACCGAGCGUUUAUGUGCGCAUACGAAUGCGUGGAAGGAAUUCAAAGGGUUACGCUUCAAGCUGAAUCAAUGUCGCACGAUAAGGAAAGAAAGAUGGGAAGUAUAUCCUAAAUGUCCUGUAGCCUCUCGAAGAUAGGUAUGGACGUCAUUAUACCGAUCCGCAAGACUUUACUAAACACUUGCUCAUGACUUGUAGAACCUAUGAACCUAGAGCUUUGAUACCAACUUGUCACGACCCUAAAUCCACUAGUCGUGAUGACACCUAACCCAACCCGCUAGGUAAGCCAAUUAACAACUAUCCAAUUCCAAUUGAUAUUUUAUAAGACAGUUAAGUAAAGAAAUUAUCUGAAUCUUAUACAUUCCCCAAGGACUGGUAGUACAAAUCAUGAGCUUCUAAGAAUAGAAUUUACAAAGUUGAAAUGAAAUAAAUACAUCGUCUGUUUGAAAAGUACAUAAACAGAGUUUUAUAGAUCUAAGGCUACCACGAAAAAGGGGCAGCUACAACCGUGACACAGGUACAUCUUCAAUCCAGCUCCCAUCGGACACAGCAACAUCAGCAACCAACAUCUACACGCAAGGUGCAGAAGUAUAGUAUGAGUACAACCGACCCCAUGUACUCAAUAAGUAAUAAACCUAACCUUAGGUUGAAAGUAGUGACGAGCUAACACAAGGUCGGGUCCAAUACCAAUAUCCCACAACAAUUCAUAACAACAUAAUACAAGUAAUAAAAGAUGUAUCUCAGAAGUAAAAUGCUCAGCUCGUUCACAGUUCCAGAAAAUAGUCAUGCUUUUCAAAUAUCUUAGUGAAAACCCAAAUCUUUUACCGAAGAUGUAAAAAAUACGAGUAAGUUUGAAAACUAUAAUUUUUUCAAAUAUCCUUUCCACAAUAAAUAAAAUAUUUCAUUUUCUUUCCAGAUAGCAAGUGUGAAAUACCUCUCUAUGCCCACAUAUCAAUGUGUGUGAAAAACAAAGUCAUGAAUGACGUGAUACCGUACAACAUGAGGAAAAAUGCAUCUCUAUGCCGUUAUGUCAUGUGUGCAUGCCAAUGCCAUGUAUCUCAGAGAUGAAUCAUGUAGUCACACUCUCAGAGUACUUAAUCUCACUGUCUUACACUUUCCACUCAUCAUGCUCAACCACUCGGUACUGUAUAUGGCCCAUACGGCCCAGGGAAGAUCCAUCCCGGAAUAUAUACAUCACUGACCAUCAGUCACUCAGUACCGAGGAAGGCCAAUCCGGCCCCAUGGAGAAGAUUCAUCUCCAGGUAUAUAAAUGCUUCGGAUAAGAUCCAUGUCCAGGGAAGAUCCAUCCCUAAAUAUAAUCAACCGCGCUCACUGGGGGUGUGCAGACUCCGGAGGGGCUCCUACAGCCCAAGCGCUAUCAUAAGCCAGAUCCAGGCAUAAAUCAAUAUAACAUGCUGCGGCGUGCAGCCCGAUCCCAUAAGUGUCACUCAUAAUCAGGCUCUCGGCCUCACUCAGUCAUCAAUCUCUCCAGUCUCACUCACAGGCUCACAAUGUCAUGAAACUAGCCCGACAAUAAUGAUAUGAUGUAUCAGUAAAUAACAACUGAGAUAUAAUAUGAAUGCAUGAAUAUGACUGAGUACGAAAUAUCAAUGAAAUCAGUGAGAUGACAGCAAGAAACGACCACUAUGGGUCCCAACAGUAUCGGCAUAAAGCCUAAAUAUGAUAUCUAGCAUGAUUGACAGCUCAAUUACUUUAUCACAUGGUGAAAACACGGAUAUCAACAAAAUAGGGCCACUAUUCAGUGCCGUGGAAACAACGGAGUCCCAAUUUACAUGGUGCACGCCCACACGCCCGUUUCCUAGCAUGUGCGUCUUCUCAAUACCAAUCACAUAACACGUAUUACGGGGUUUCAUACCUUCAGCACUAAGUUUAGAAGAGUUACUUACCUCGAACAAGCUAAUUCCAACACCGAGCAAGCCAAGCGAUGCUCCAAAAUGCCAUCCCGCGCGUUCCGACCUACGAACGGCUCAAAACUAACCAAAAACAACUCAAGUACAUCAAACAAUGCUAACGGAACCAAUCCCGAUCAAAAAAGAUCAAAUCUUGAAUCAAAAGCCCAAAACCAGCCAAAAGCCCAACCGGGGCCCGCACUUCGGACCCCGACAAAAUUUACAAAAUCCAACAACCCAUUCAAUUACGAGUCCAACCAUACUAGUUUCACUCAAAUCUGACUCCAAUUCGAUGUUCAAAACUCAAAAAUUCAUAUUAUGAAACUUUAGGCCAAAAAACCCAAUUUCCUCUUUAAAUUUCACAAUCCAAUUACCAAAAACGAAGAUAGAUUAAGGAAAUAUAACCAAAACCGAGUAGAGAACACUUACCCAAUUCAUAUGGUGAAAAUGUUUCAAGAAUUGCCUCAAUCCGAGCUCCAUAGCUCCCAAAAUGAAGAAAGAAUCAAAACCCUCGUUAAUAUAGCUUCUGCCUAGCGAUUCCGCAUUUGCGGACAAUUCGUCGCAUCUGUGACUACCGUUUUUGCGGAAAAACAUCGCAUCUGCGAUAAAUGGCCUUGCCCAGCAACCCUCGCACCUGCGGUAUCAAACUCCGCAUCUGCGAAGACCCUCGCACCUGCCCUUCCACUCGACGCGCCUGCGCAUCCGCACCUGCGCCCUUUUCUCCGCUUUUGCGGGCCUCCUCAUCCAGCUCUCAUCUCGCAUCUGCGAUGCCUUUGUUGCUUCUGCGGCCAUCACACCUGCGCAAACUAACCGCAGGUGCGAUCAUACCAGAACCAGCAGCCUUCAACAAUGCAACAUGAAGUAAAAAUGAUCUGAACCUCAUCCAAAACUCAUCCGAACCACUCGGGACCCCGUCCGAAUAUACCAACAAGUUCCAUAACGCAAUACGGACCUACUCGAGGCCUCAAAACACAUAUAACAACAUAAAAACGACGAAUCACACCUCAAAUCGAAAUCUAUGAAGUUCGAACUUUCAAAUUCAAUAACUCGUGCCGAAACAUAGCAAAUCAAUCCGGAAUGACUUCAAAUUUUGCACACAAGUCACAUUCGACAUUACGGGCGUGCUCCAACUUUCGGAAUCGGAAUCCGUCCCCAAUAUAAAAAAGUCCACUCCCGGUCAAACUUUCCAAAAUUUCAACUUCCGCAAUUUCGAGCCAAAUUCAACCACGAACCUCCAAAUCACAAUCCAGACGCGCUCUUAAGACCAAAAUCACCCAACGGAGCUAACAGAACCAUCAAAAUUCCAAUCCGAGGUCAAUGCUAAAAUGUAAAACUUGGUCAACUCUUUCGAAUUUAAAGCUCCCUAGUUGAGAAUCAUUCUUCCAAAUCAGUCCCGAAUAACCUGAAAACCAAACCGACGAUUCACACAAGUCAAAAUACCUCAUACAGAGCUACUCACGCCUGUAAACUACCG